CGGCUUUUUUUUUUGAGAUACCUUUAAUCAAAAUACUUUAUUUAUCAAAAAAAUCGACUUGAAUUUUUUGUAAAAUUAAACAAGAUAUAUAAUAAAACCUGUAAUAGAUAUUCAAAUACAUUCUAAUAUUUAACCAAUAUAAGUUCAAAUAUCAUUCUAAUAAAUUAAAUUACAAUGACCCUUAACGGGGCACAUAUCAUAAAAUAUCUCCAAGAUUAUCUUCAAUAUUUAUCCAUGUCAAACACUAAACUAAGGAUUAGAACUCCUUUGGACUGUCUUGGAAAUUUUGCUCUGAACUAGAGGAUAAAAGUAGGCGAUUUUGUGUGAAAUGUAUGCAAUUAAUCGCUCUUCAGCUCCAGUUAUGUUCUGAGUGUGGAACUUGGUGCAUGCUUGAUAGACGCCUCCCAAGACGUUUGAGCUUGGAAGGCAAAAGAACAGCAUGUUUCCCCAACCCCUCCUCAUUAGAUAGACACCUUCCAACUACACUCCAAGGUAUUGGAGUUCUCUCACUAAGUUUCUUCUUUCAGGCGAUUUCCCAAGCUGUAGGCAGAAAUCUAAUACCAUUACCAUUUGUCCCCCCACCAUUUUAAAGCUAAUGAUGGAUAAUAACUUCCUGGGAAUUAUGGGAAAAUGGAGGUUGCCUACCAUUGAUAGAGGUAGCCUCUUAGGAGGGGAGAAUCACUAUUGUUGUCUAUUAGGGUGCUAGAAGCUGCUCCUUCAACAAGGAAUCUUCAGUGUUUCAUUAGGUAUGCUUGGGGAACCCUCUCAAGGGCUCUCUAAGGCUCCCAUUCUUCCACCCAUUUCUCCUAACUCCGGCCAGCUCCUCCCCCGAUUUUUCCGUCGAUCUCCAGGCGUCCCUCCGGUAAUCCUCCAGCGAGAUUCCGACCAACUAAUUUGGAGAAGAAGAAAAAAGUCAAAAAAAUAUAUUUAAGAUUUUUUUUAAAUCUUAGAUUUCAUGUGGCCCAGCACCUUAAAGCGAUCUGUCUUCAGGUGCUGGGCGGGUUAGGCUGAUCCAGUUGGAUCCACCUGACCCAAAUACCCAUUUAAAUCUUAUAAAAAUGAGGGUUAGAGUUUUAAAAACCUAUUCCCUCGUUAUUCUCUCAUUUUCUUCUUAUUUCUCUGUCAUUUCCAGCCACCUAUUUUUUUCUUUACCCUCUUUUUCAGGCAGCCGUAUGGUUUGUAAGACUUCAUAAGUACUAUUUUAUUUUGCUUAAGGCAUCUAUUUAAUUUUGCUUAAGACUUAUAUUUCAUUCUAAAUUUCUAAUGAUUCUAUAUAUAUUCUAUUAAUAUUUCUGAAAAUACAGGUAUUUAUAGUAAUAUUAUAAAAAUACAGGGGAAAUUAUGGAAAAUUUCCACCCUAAUCAUGCGACGCCUAGGUGUUCAUGGCUUCAUGCGACCAGUUUGAUCGCAUGAACGCCUGGCCACAUGUAAAAGCUUGUUCUUCAUAUCAUUCUUCUAAUGAUUAAUGUAGAUUAGGGUUGUGGUUUUUUAAUUAAUUUGUUAUUGUUUUAGGAUUUUUAAAAUGGAUGAAUUUCAUGAAACCGAUUAUGCACAACAAGUACCUAUUGAAGAAAGCAAUGAAGACAUUGACAACAUCAUUGAAGAAGAAGACGAUAUUCUAGGGUAGUCAAAAUAAAUCUACCAAGUGGGAUGUUUCCACUAAUGUCUCACAUACUUUCCCCAAAAAUGACAGUUCGUGAUAAGUCUUUUGCUGCCCUCUCUGAGAAGAAGAUGAGAAGUUACCUGAACAAGGAAGGUCAAAAUUCCCUUGGAUUUGUGAAGCAUGAGGUAAGAUUUGGAAUGAAAUAUGGUCUCAUCUUUGAGGAUAAUCUAAUCCCACCCAAAGGUACUCCCCUGGAGCUCUCCUUGAGAGAGCCAAACACCCACAUGUUAAAGCUCGAAACGAGCCCAAAAAAAGUUGGAGCUCGGCUCGUUUGAUUAAAGGAAUUUUACAAGCUCGACUCGCUAAUUUUACGUAAGCUCAAGCUCGACUAGCUCGCUUAUUUUUGUAUAAUUUAUUUAUAUUAAUGAAAAAUAUAUAAUUUAUGAUAAUUCAUUUACACAAAUAACCUUAAAAUUUUAUAUAACUAUUUAUGAAUAAGAAAUAUAUAUCUAUUUUAGAAAUUUUAAGGAUAUAAUUAAUUAAUACUAACCUUAUAAAUAUUAAAAUCAAAAAAAUAUAUUAUAUAUUAAACCAAGCUAAUGGAGUGGGCUCGGCUCGUUUAAUUAAACGAGCCAAACUCGAAUGUGUUUGUCGAACAUGAGCUUUAUGUUCAUCCCUAAUUGGUAUCAAGCCUUCACUUAAGAAGUUGCAUUGCUACAUCAAGUUUAAGUGGGAUAUUAGAGCUGACUUUGCGGUUAAAUGCUACAAUGACACCACAACUGAUCGGAUCUGAGACUUCAUUCAUGACCGAACCAUAAGGUCAACCGCUACUUAUCUGAGGAGUUACAUGCUGAAAAUUUAGAGACAAUCCCCCAAUGGGUUCUUAUCACCGGCAUGUCUGAAUUUAUGUGGAACAAGACUCAGGAGUGGAAUUGAUGCAAUUAUUAGCACUCUAGGAGUACCAUUCGAGGCUGAGCACCUAUGGUCACCUUGGGGGCAUGCUCUUUAAGCACGUGCAAUGAUCUUGAUUUUGAUGAAAAAUGAUCUUGAAAGGGCUGCUGAAUUGAAGAUUAAAUAUAGAUCCAAGCCAUCCUUAUGCAGCUCUUGUUCUUUCUUUGGGCAUGAGAUUCUUCAUUGUUAUCUCUUAAAUAAGUCAUCCAUGAUGAUUGCCGGAGCAUCUGUAUCGUUGCCUGAGUUCUAGCUCCAGCAAGAAGCGUCAAGAAAGAAAGCUCAACAGUUUUCCUCUUCGACUUCCCAAGUGUCUAGUUGGAAACUCGAGUAAAUCCCUUGCUGUUUUGAAUAGAUACGAGAGGAGGCAGAAAAAAGAUCUAUUAUUCAGAGGCUGAUACCUAAGCAUUUUAUCUGACGCAGUCCCUAUGGUGAUGACUGCAUUGGGCUGACAGUAAAUUCCUUACACAUUCAGCCCCCCUUAUGGCUCUCACUGUGGUGAAUGUUAUGGACCUAAACAAGCCAAUAGGCAGCUAGAAGUAAGAAAACUUCUUACAUAUCCAAACUCUGAAAUAUUUAGUCCCUUAUGGCUCUCACUGUGGUGAAUGUUAGGGACCUAAACAAGCCAAUAGGCAGCUAGAAGUAAGAAAACUUCUUGCAUCUCUAAACUCUGAAAUAUUUAGUCUCCAUGAGACUAAGGUUAGGAAGGAAAAUGUACUAGACAUCAUUGACUGAUUUUGGGGAAGAAUGAUCUUAUAUCAAUAAUGGUAACCCUAAUUUUCCAAGCCUAUCUGAUUCCGUAUGGGUUGGAUGGAGAAAAUAUAUUUGGAAUAAGAUUAUUUUGGUCUCCCAUUGACAGUUCAUUCACCUAGAAAUAUUUAUUGAAGGAAGACUCAAUUUCCUACUCAUUAUAGUCUACGCCUCUAAUAACAGAGAGGAUAGGAAACAAUUAUGGGAAGGUCUUAUUGAUAUCAGUAGCUCUGUUAGUGGUCUCCCCUGGGAAGAUUUUAAUGAGGUUACAUGCCCUGAAAAAAUAAUUUAUAUCCCAGGGGUCCUAGGGCCAUGGCGGCCCAUCUGAAUUCAUCCAGCCACCGUGGACUCUCAGCUACAUGAGCUUCCUAUGAGUGAAAUGAGUAAGAUGUGAAUCUGAAAAUGGGGGAAAACAAAUGUUCGAUCCCUCCCAAAAUGUAUUGAAUUAGUUUAUAUACAUUUGGAGAGAUUAGAUCUAACAGAAUUCACUACCAAUUCUGUUAGAUCUGAUCCAUUGGAUUAUUCUAAAAGCAAUUAGCUAAUUAAAGUAAUUAACUACAUAGCUAAUUAUAAAGCAAAUAAAAGUAACUAGCUUAUAACUCUAAUAGCCCUCCUCAAACUCAUCUAUAAUCAUUGAUGAGUUUGGCUUUGAGUUCCAAGAAAGAUGUUGGCCUUAAUGCUUUGGUCAACACAUCUGUCCUUUGCUUGGUGUUUGGAAUAUGAACCCUGUCCCUUACAAAAUUAAAAUCAACAACCGCAUGCUUGAUCUUUGUGUGGAAAAUAGGGUUAGCAGCUAAUUGUGUGGCACCCAAUUUAUCACAACAUAACUUAUAGUGUUUAUCAAUCUUUAUACCCAUCUCACAUAGCAAAUUAGCCAACCAAUCCAUAUCUGCAACUGCAACAAUGAUUGCCCUGAAUUCAGACUCAGUACUUGAUCUGGACACUAUAGGUUGCUUCUGAGAACACCAUAUUAUCAAGGACAAGCCCAUAUAUACCAUGUACCCAGUUUGGCUUUUCCUAUCAGUUACAUCAGAAGCCCAAUCAGCAUCACUGUAUGUUGAUUUAUAACAAUUCAUAGAUUUUUUAAGAAUAAUUCCCAUAGUCUGAGUGCUUGACAAAUAUUUGAGCACUCUUAUAAUCAUAAUCCAGUGAAUCUCCUUAGGUUUAUCCAUAAAUUAUGCCAGCUUAUUGACAGAAUAGGCAAUAUCUGGCCUUGUCAUUGUCAAGUAAUACAGUGAGCCAAUGAUUCUCCUGUAAUCAGUGUGCUUCUCAAUCACCUCAGCAUCAAAAAAAAUGGUUUAUCAUGCUACAUUGGGGUAGAUAUGGGUUUCAGGUUCUGAAAGUCAUGUUUGUUCAACAAAUUCAGUAAGUAUAACUAUUGAUCCAGAAACGCUCCAUCUACAUGCUUUCUUACCUUGAUUCCACAUGCAUGUAUGAAUCCAGAAACACUCCAUCUACAUGAAAAUUUCAAAAACAAGGAUGGUUUGGAAGCGGUAAUGAGAGUUCAAAGCUGGUUUGCACAUGCAUGUAUGAAUCCAGAUGGUGUAUAACAUUAUUGUUUCCUUGGUUUUAGGACUUAGUUGAUGGGGUAAAUUGGUUUGAUGGAAUGGGUUUUCCAGGAGAAAUUAGAAAAGAGGAGCAAAAUUAAGUAUCCCACCUGGGUUUUUCACCCCUACCAUCAAAUCAAUUAACAUGAUUGUUUCCUUGGUUCAGUGGAUUGUAGCUGUAAUAGGUUCAAUUAGGAUGUAUGUAGUAUGUUAGCAAUUUUCCAUGUAGUUAACAUACCAAGUAUUUAUGAACUAAUGUAAGCCUUUAGGCAGCCCUUUGUGGACCGAGGCGAGGGUUAGCAACGUAAGUGGCUAAUUCUUUAUUUUUCUUGAAUGCAAUUUACCCUUUAGUGUUCAAAAAAAAAUUACCCUGAUUCGCAGAAAAUAUUCCAGAUUCCCGCACAUACUACAAAUUCAGACUUCAAACUAUCCAAGCAUUCCUUCACCUUUACUGAGCUAGAACCAAUGAUUACCAUAUCAUCCACAUACACCAAGAUGUAGAUAAUCUCACCAUCAUUUCUUACAAACAGAGAUUCAUCAGACAUAUAUGCUUUGAAUUCGAUUUUGUCCAAUGCUUGUUUUAAAUGCCUAAACCCUAACCCUAAUAUCAAUCCAUAAAGUACCUUUUUUAAAAGGCACACAUGACCAGGUUUUGAAUUUUUGAUUCAUCAAGAAAGCCAGCAGGUUGCCUCAUAACAAUCAUUUCUUCCAAAUGACUAUGAAGAAAUACAUUGCUUAUAUCAAUUUGUUGCAUUCCCAACCUUUGGAGAAUGCUAAUGUGAGAGAAAUUCUAAUGGUUUUUGGCUUAACCAUAGGAU
rnacentral:lncRNA from 1 species